rnacentral:lncRNA from 1 species
GGGUAUCCAUUCAAGAUUAGUCUGGAGCAGUCUUCUUUGGUGUUGAUCUUUCUUCUCUAAGAAUGAUCACCCUAUGAAUCUGAAUAAAGUCUGGAUCACAAUCAACUCUUUGAUCCUUUUUUUAUCUUUUUCUUCUCUUCUUCUCUUGCUUUUCUUUUCUUGAUUAUGAAGCAAUCAAGGUCUGAAAAUUAACAAGCAAAGGGGA